rnacentral:rRNA from 1 species
UUCCGGUUGAUCCUGCCGGACCUUACUGCUAUCGGGAUGAGACUAAGCCAUGCAUGUCGAGCGCUCUUCAGCUAUGUAGAGAGCGCGGCGAACGGCUCAAUAACACGUAGUUAACCUACCCUCGGGAUGGGAAUAACCCCGGGAAACUGGGAUUAAUACCCACUAGAUGAUUAUACCUGGAAUGGCUUAUCAUCGAAAGAGUCUGGAAACAUGCUUCCAGCGUCGCCCGAGGGUGGGACCGCGUCCGAUCAGGUAGUUGGUGGGGUAAUGGCCUACCAAGCCUAUAACCGGUACGGGCCCUGAGAGGGGGAGCCCGGAGAUGGAAACUGAGAAAAGGUUCCAGGCCCUACGGGGUGCAGCAGGCGCGAAACCUCCACAAUGCGCGAAAGCGUGAUGGGGUUAUCCCGAGUGCCGUCCGAUGAGGAUGGCUUUUUAUCGAUGUAAGGAUUCGAUAGAAUAAAGGGGGGGCAAGACUGGUGUCAGCCGCCGCGGUAAUACCAGCCCCCUGAGUGGUAAGGACGAUUAUUUGGCCUAAAGCGUUCGUAGCCGGCUUAUCAAGUCUUUUGUUAAAUCCAACGAUUUAAUCGUUGGGCCGCAAAAGACACUGUUAUGCUAGAGGACGGGAGAGGUCGACGGUAGUCCAGGGGUAGGGGUGAAAUCCUAUAAUCCUUGGAGGACCACCAGUGGCGAAGGCGGUCGACUAGAACGUGCCUGACGGUGAGGGACGAAAGCUGGGGGAGCGAACCGGAUUAGAUACCCGGGUAGUCCCAGCUGUAAACGAUGCGGGCUAGGUGUUGGGGCAGCCACGAGCUGCUCCAGUGCCGCAGAGAAGUUGUUAAGCCCGCCGCCUGGGGAGUACGGCCGCAAGGCUGAAACUUAAAGGAAUUGGCGGGGG